UACGGAGGGUGCAAGCGUUAUCCGGAUUUACUGGGUUUAAAGGGUGUGUAGGCGGGUCUUUAAGUCAGUGGUGAAAUCUCCGAGCUCAACUUGGAAACUGCCAUUGAUACUAUUGAUCUUGAAUUUUGUUGAGGUAGGCGGAAUAAGUCAUGUAGCGGUGAAAUGCAUAGAUAUGACGUAGAACACCAAUUGCGAAGGCAGCUUGCUAAACAAAUAUUGACGCUGAGGCACGAAAGCGUGGGGAUCAAACAGG
rnacentral:rRNA from 1 species